rnacentral:rRNA from 1 species
CAGCAGCCGCGGUAAUACGUAGGGUGCAAGCGUUAAUCGGAAUUACUGGGCGUAAAGCGUGCGCAGGCGGUUAUAUAAGACAGAUGUGAAAUCCCCGGGCUCAACCUGGGAACUGCAUUUGUGACUGUAUAGCUAGAGUACGGUAGAGGGGGAUGGAAUUCCGCGUGUAGCAGUGAAAUGCGUAGAUAUGCGGAGGAACACCGAUGGCGAAGGCAAUCCCCUGGACCUGUACUGACGCUCAUGCACGAAAGCGUGGGGAGCAAACAGGAUUAGAUACCCCCGUAGUCCCUGUCUCUUAUAC